UACGAAGGGGGCUAGCGUUGUUCGGAAUUACUGGGCGUAAAGCGCACGUAGGCGGAUUGUUAAGUUAGGGGGUGAAAUCCCAGGGCUCAACCCUGGAACUGCCUUUAAUACUGGCAAUCUCGAGUCCGAGAGAGGUGAGUGGAAUUCCGAGUGUAGAGGUGAAAUUCGUAGAUAUUCGGAGGAACACCAGUGGCGAAGGCGGCUCACUGGCUCGGUACUGACGCUGAGGUGCGAAAGCGUGGGGAGCAAACAGGG
rnacentral:rRNA from 1 species